AACGAACGCUGGCGGCAUGCCUAACACAUGCAAGUCGAACGAGACCUUCGGGUCUAGUGGCGCACGGGUGCGUAACGCGUGGGAACCUUCCCUUAGGUUCGGAAUAACUCCCCGCAAGGGGUGCUAAUACCGGAUAAUGUCUUCGGCCCAAUGAUUUAUCGCCUUUGGAUGGGCCCGCGUUGGAUUAGCUAGUUGGUAGGGUAAAAGCCUACCAAGGCGACGAUCCAUAGCUGGUCUGAGAGGAUGAUCAGCCACACUGGGACUGAGACACGGCCCAGACUCCAACGGGAGGCAGCAGUGGGGAAUAUUGGACAAUGGGCGAAAGCCUGAUCCAGCAAUGCCGCGUGAGUGAGGAAGGCCUUAGGGUUGUAAAGCUCUGUUACCCGGGAUGAUAAUGACAGUACCGGGAGAAUAAGCUCCGGCUAACUCCGUG
rnacentral:rRNA from 1 species